CUUAAGCAUAUCAAUAAGCGGAGGAAAAGAAACCAACAGGGAUUGCCUCAGUAACGGCGAGUGAAGCGGCAAAAGCUCAGAUUUGAAAUCUGGCGUCAUUUUGGCGUCCGAGUUGUAAUCUGUAGAGGAGUAUUCGAGUGUGGAUUUGGCUUAAGUUCCUUGGAACAGGACGUCAUAGAGGGUGAGAACCCCGUUAACGGCCUAUGUCUUAUGCUCAUGUGAAUCUUCUUCAACGAGUCGAGUUGUUUGGGAAUGCAGCUCUAAAUUGGUGGUAAAUUCCAUCUAAAGCUAAAUACUGGCAAGAGACCGAUAGCGCACAAGUAGAGUGAUCGAAAGAUGAAAAGAACUCUGAACAGAGAGUUAAAUAGUACGUGAAAUUGUUGAAAGGGAAGCACUUGCUACCAGACACGCCUGUAGUUGAUCAACCUCCAUUUUUGGUGGUGCACUCGGCUAUAGGUGGGUCAGCAUCAGUUACAACGGUGGGAUAAAGGCUUUGGGAAUGUAGCUUCUUUCGAGAAGUGUUAUAGCCCUUGGUGUAAUACCAUCUGAUGUGACUGAGGCCCGCGCUUCGGCGAGGAUGCUGGCAUAAUGGUCGUAAGUGACCCGUCUUGAAACACGGACCAAGGAGUCUAACAUCUAUGCGAGUGUUUGGGCGUCAAAACCCUUACGCGGAAUGAAAGUGAAUGAAGGUGGGAACCGCAAGGUGCACCAUCGACCGAUCCUGAUGUUUUCGGAUGGAUUUGAGUAGGAGCAUAGCUGUUGGGACCCGAAAGAUGGUGAACUAUGCCUGAAUAGGGUGAAGCCAGAGGAAACUCUGGUGGAGGCUCGCAGCGGUUCUGACGUGCAAAUCGAUCGUCAAAUUUGGGUAUAGGGGCGA
rnacentral:rRNA from 1 species